UAGGCUUGACAUGCAUGGGAAACUCCUGGUUUCUCAGGAGUUUCCCAUGCAUGUCAAGCCUAGGUAAGGUUCUUCGCGUUGCGUCGAAUUAAACCACAUGCUCCACCGCUUGUGCGGGCCCCCGUCAAUUCCUUUGAGUUUCAGCCUUGCGGCCGUACUCCCCAGGCGGGGUACUUCCUGCGUUAGCGCCGGCACCCAAGGGGUCGCUCCCCCAGGCACCUAGUACCCAUCGUUUACGGCGUGGACUAC
rnacentral:misc_RNA from 1 species